GCCUAACACAUGCAAGUCGAACGGUAACAGGAAGCAGCUUGCUGCUUCGCUGACGAGUGGCGGACGGGUGAGUAAUGUCUGGGAAACUGCCUGAUGGAGGGGGAUAACUACUGGAAACGGUGGCUAAUACCGCAUAACGUCGCAAGACCAAAGAGGGGGACCUUCGGGCCUCUUGCCAUCAGAUGUGCCCAGAUGGGAUUAGCUAGUUGGUGAGGUAACGGCUCACCAAGGCGACGAUCCCUAGCUGGUCUGAGAGGAUGACCAGCCACACUGGAACUGAGACACGGUCCAGACUCCUACGGGAGGCAGCAGUGGGGAAUAUUGCACAAUGGGCGCAAGCCUGAUGCAGCCAUGCCGCGUGUAUGAAGAAGGCCUUCGGGUUGUAAAGUACUUUCAGCGGGGAGGAAGGUGUUGUGGUUAAUAACCGCAGCAAUUGACGUUACCCGCAGAAGAAGCACCGGCUAACUCCGUGCCAGCAGCCGCGGUAAUACGGAGGGUGCAAGCGUUAAUCGGAAUUACUGGGCGUAAAGCGCACGCAGGCGGUCUGUCAAGUCGGAUGUGAAAUCCCCGGGCUCAACCUGGGAACUGCAUUCGAAACUGGCAGGCUUGAGUCUUGUAGAGGGGGGUAGAAUUCCAGGUGUAGCGGUGAAAUGCGUAGAGAUCUGGAGG
rnacentral:rRNA from 1 species